GAGGACAUUGUCAGGUGG
rnacentral:siRNA from 1 species